rnacentral:rRNA from 1 species
CAAGUCGGACGCGAAAGCCCCGCAAGGGGCCGGUAGAGUGGCGCACGGGUGAGUAACACGUGGAUAACCUGCCUGGCAGAGGGGACUAACCUCCCGAAAGGGGGGCUAAUGCCGCAUAAGACCCUGGGGCGAAGGCCGUGGGGUUGAAAGGGGAGACCCGCUGGCAGAGGGGUCCGCGCCUGAUUAGCUGGUUGGUGAGGUAACGGCUCACCAAGGCUGCGAUCAGUAGCCGUCCUGAGAGGGAGCACGGCCACACUGGAACUGAGACACGGUCCAGACUCCUACGGGAGGCAGCAGUGGGGAAUUUUUGGCAAUGGGGGCAACCCUGACCAAGCAACGCCGCGUGGGUGAGGAAGUACCUUGGUACGUAAAGCCCUUUCGGCAGGGACGAAGCAAGUGACGGUACCUGCAGAAGAAGCCCCGGCUAACUCCGUGCCAGCAGCCGCGGUAAUACGGGGGGGGCGAGCGUUGUUCGGAAUCACUGGGCGUAAAGGGCGCGUAGGCGGCCCGCACAAGUCUGCGGUGAAAACCCCCGGCUUAACCGGGGGCCGGCCGUGGAAACUGUCGGGCUAGAGGCCGGGAGAGGGCAGCGGAAUUCCCGGUGUAGCGGUGAAAUGCGUAGAGAUCGGGAGGAACACCGGCGGCGAAGGCGGCUGCCUGGACCGGCCCUGACGCUGAGGCGCGAAAGCUAGGGGAGCAAACAGGAUUAGAUACCCUGGUAGUCCUAGCCCUAAACGAUGGAUACUGGCUGUGGGGGGUAGCCAAUCCCCCCGUGGCGAAGCUUAACGCAUUAAGUAUCCCGCCUGGGG